UGAGAGCAAGCGUACAUCCAUCCAUGUGAUUAUCAGACUACACUUAAAGAUAAAGAAAAUGGCUACACGGUGCUGUCUCUUCUCUGUGUCCUCGAGCUCCAGAAUCUGAAGAGGGAGCAAAUGAUGCGCUCAGAGCCGCCUUCGGUGAGCAGCCAUGCUAAUACACCUGCCAACGGUGAUGGGCCUAAAUAAGCCAACGUUCGCUGUGGCUAACGUUGAUACAGAGUACGAAGUUGCGAAACAAUUCUUCAGCUUGCAAAAACAAUCACAGCCAAUCGAGGGGAAUUAGACUAAACAGCACGUCCUCUCAAAGUACCACACACAUGUGAUCGCAAUGCCCAGCGUACUGACUGCUUUCAAACAUGCCUUAACAUUCGGUGCCUCCACAGCAAUGUGCGAGAAUUCAAUCUCCGUGCUGAGAAACGUUCGGACCAUAGACGCAGAAUGCACCACAAAAGAAAGGCACAGUUGGUCCAACUAGCGUUUGAAAAGGACUUAACACGAAAAUGCACAACUGAGUGGAAGGACACCGUUCUUACGAGGUUCAGUACCAGCACUAGCCGCCUGCAACUCUUUUAAAGGAAAGUUUUUCUGGCAAUCCCCUUCCAUGAAGAUUCACAGUCUGAAGACUGGCGGCCAUCUGCAAUAUAACAUGGAGAUACAACCGUGGAGAUUGGUGGAAUAUCACUUGUCCGGUUCUGCCACCGCAUCUCAGUUGGCUUCAAGCAAAGAUUUGACUCCACUGAAACACCGUAAGAACAGUAGUGAAUUUUCCCUGGAUUCCCUGGAGAAUCACCUGGAUGAUCCUCAAUCCUUUGAUGAUUAUGUUUUAUGGAGGUGAGUCAAAAAUUUUACUUUUUGGAUGACACAGGUCCCAUUAUGUUUGAUGUGAAGCAAAUACAGCAUUUCACAGUAAGUCCAUCAUACCAACAGUCAAACAUGGUUGUGGUAGUGUGAUGGUGUGGAGAUCAUUUUCUGCCUCUGCACGCGCGCACACACACACACACACACACACACAGGUCCAUUAAUUCAUAUCACGGAUUGAGUGACUUUGAGGGUUCUGAGACUAUGACUGCUAAACUGACCACAGAAAAAAAAUGAUAUGUGCCUUGCGCCGGAUCAGCCUAAGUGCACCUGCUGUUCUUCUUGACAAGGACGUCGAGGCAGUGGUUCUGAGUGAGCCAGUAAGGAAUUGAACUUUCCCGCCCCUCAGGAGCAGUUGCUCAGCAACAGCUUCAGAGUGCAGGGUCCAUCAAAGCUACUUUCUCAUUCAUUCUAUUCAAUUUUGGUUGAAAUGAAAAGCCUGUAUUCCCACACAAAGUCUUACGCAACAGAUAAUUACAGAUAUUUUUUUCCCAUAGAGAUUUAUACUUUUGUUAUUGAUGGACUGUAGGUAUGUAUGCAAAUGUAGCAAUGGAGGCUAUGAUUUCUUUAAAAAGUAGCCUAACCGCACACCUAUUUGUUUAUUUUAAUUGGACUGGUUACGUCUAUGUGCAAGUUAUAUGGAGUGUUUCAUUUGGUCUUUAUGCAUUCAUUUUGUUUUUAUUUAAUUUUCAUUCUCUAAAUGUGUAGUGAAAUUUUAGUUUGAGAAGUUGCAUGCUUCAUGGAUGACUUUCAUGUAUAUCCAGUCCAAAUAUUUUCAGCCUGCUCUCCUUAAUACAUUUACAUACUGAGACCGUAAUCUCAAAACCGAGUGCAAAUUGCAUAUUUAUGAGAUUCUGUUGAUAUCACUCGGAACAUGAAAUACAUACUUUGAUCUUGUAUUACAUUUGGCUGUUUUAUCACAUACGGUGCUGCAUGCACUGAAGUAAUUGCAAUCAGUCAGAAAAUGAUUUUAAGAUUUGCAUUGUUUUAAGAUUUUAAUCAUUGGUAAGAUGCAGACUGAAGAAUAUCCAUUGCUCCCCACAUGUAAAAAUAGUCUUCAUACAAUGAGAUCCAUAUGUCUCAGGACAGAUAGAUAUUUGUUUAUUGAUUUGGCUCUGUAUUCCACAGUGUGAAAAAUAAAAUGGCAUGUUAUAAUUAAGGUCUCAAUAUGUUAAGACAUUUGCGUGGAUUGAGUACAGCAGGCGUGCAGGUGUGAUGUGUGAUGCUUUCUAUGCUGGCUCUUGGGACUAAGCUUUCACUGUCUGUAGCGUAAGACACUGAGGGCCCAGAAUCGCUUUCUUCUCUCUCCCGCCUCCACAUCUAGUCAGGUUUCAUGUUGAUGAUUAAACCGAAUCAGAUGGUUAACAUGUAUGAUGCUAAGGAACUCUGCUACAGUGCAUUAGCAUCAUACAUGUUAGCCAUCUGAUUCGGUUUAAUCAUCGACAUGUAUUCCCGUAACAUCUCCUUUCUACACUUUUUUUGUUUCUGUUUUAUUAACGAUAAAAAUCCACUGAACAUCAUUUCUGAUCUUUUCUGUCAAACUUUACAU